UGGCUCAAUGGUAGAGCGUUCGACUCAAAUACCAAAGGUCGCGGGUUCGAAUCCCNN
rnacentral:tRNA from 1 species